rnacentral:rRNA from 1 species
UACGUAGGGUGCAAGCGUUGUCCGGAAUUACUGGGCGUAAAGCGCGUGUAGGCGGCUUCGCAAGUCGGGUGUGAAAUCCCACGGCUCAACCGUGGAAGUGCAUUCGAAACUGCAAGGCUAGAGUCCUGGAGAGGAAGGUGGAAUGCUUGGUGUAGAGGUGAAAUUCGUAGAUAUCAAGCGGAACACCGGUGGCGAAGGCGACCUUCUGGACAGUGACUGACGCUGAGACGCGAAAGCGUGGGGAGCAAACAGG